rnacentral:rRNA from 1 species
UACGAGGGGGGCGAGCGUUGUUCGGAAUUAUUGGGCGUAAAGGGUGCGUAGGCGGUUUGGUAAGUCUUAUGUGAAAUCUACAGGCUCAACUUGUAGUCUGCAUGAGAAACUGCCGGGCUUGAGUGUGGGAGAGGUGAGUGGAAUUCCUGGUGUAGCGGUGAAAUGCGUAGAUAUCAGGAGGAACACCUGUGGCGAAAGCGGCUCACUGGAC